rnacentral:lncRNA from 1 species
UUCAGAUUCUCGACCGAAAGGAGCAAGUGCUUAGGAACAAGACAAUCCCGCUUGUCAAGGGUGCUGUGGAGAAGUCAUCAAGUAGAAGAAGCUACUUGGGAAUCAGAGGAGCAAAUGAUGCAGCAGUAUCCGUAUCUCUUCGGAUGACAUGUAUAUUAAUUUCGAGGACGAAAUUUUUAUAAGGAGGGGAGAAUUGUCACAUCCCGACCCUUAUAUUUUUACCUUAUUUACUAGCGUGAUUAUAAUAAGAAUUUUACCGUCUCGAUCAUUGAGUAAACAGUUUAAUUGGUCCCUAGAGGGGUUUCGGGGACGAUUAUGUGCGGAGGAUUAUUAGUAUGAGGGAAAUACGACGACGGUAAAAAUGGUAAAUUUUAGCUAGUAAAAGGUAAUUUUUAUUCGGGUAUUAUUUUUUCGGGGUGUUUUUAUUUUAGAAUUUGGGUUAAUAUAAGUUGGACCGGUUUGGGGUGUGAGGCCCAAACCCACUCUUUUUUUUCCUCCCGAUUUUCUCUCCUCACCCCUCCCGCACCCGAGCCUCCCGCUGCCCGGUUUUCCGGCCGUCCUCCCGCCGCCGUCCGGUCACCAACCGCCGCCGCACCGGUCCCGUUCGGUCGACCUCCAACCCAGCAACCUCCCUGGACCGGUGAGAGGAGCCCUAGCUCCGCCGUGAGAGAGCGGUGCCACCCGAAAGGUCCGACUGUCCAAAGCGUCACUUCGCCGGAACUUCCUCCUCCGGCCACCAAUCCGGGCAAGCUUGGUACGGUUUUGUAGCCCUCCUCCCGUGCAACAACCCCUCGAAGCAGCUCCCUCCCUCUUGAGCUAGGUAAGGAGAAAUUUGAGGUGGAAGUUUUAUGGUGUUUAAGUUGUUUUCGUUCGAUUAGCCUAGUUUGGCUUGGAAUUGGGUGAUGUGUUAGUCAUGAAAGUUGUAGAGGAGAUUGAGAGGAAGAUUCUGUUAAAAUUUGGUAGCAUUUGCAGGUCGCCGGAGUUGGUCGCCGGCCGCCGCUGCCGGCGGAGCCACCGGCGGCGCCGCCGCUGUUUUGGGAAAUUGUUUGGUUUUUGAUGUAGAAUAUUAAGGGGAUAUUAUUGAGGUGAAUUUUGGAAUUUUUGGAUGAGAUUUGGAUAGGUUUGUGAAUUUCCGAAGUGUGGUAUUUUUGGCGGGUAAUUAAUGUAGAAUCCGGCCGUAGGAUUUAAGUCGUAUUUUGGAGAGGU